GCCAUCUACACAGCUGGUGCACCUUCCCCGAGACUGCACAGAGAAGGAAGGAAAAAAACUCCGAAAUGAAGCUUGAGGCCCAGAUGAAGUCAAGUGCUCACACCCACAUAUUCUACCCAGCCGGCGUGACUGCACUGGCUAAAUCCAGGACACUGGCAGGAGCUGUCAUCUUCUUCUUCAAUGGUGUUUAUUGCCGGCUUGUAACAUACAUGGAAGCCUGCUUUGCCCUAAUGGAGUUCUGCAGUUUGUACAGCCGUCUGCCAUCUUUGCCAUGGCUCCCCUGCUCCUGCCACUCUGCCACACAGCCGACCUGAUGAUCCUAAUGGGACCUUAAUAUCAAUCACUUCCUGCUUUAAUGCCUUUUUUGGCUAUUUGUCUGCUACUUCAUUUCUGGCUGGAUCCAUCUGUUUUUGGUUCGGGUGUCUGGUAAAGCCGGUUCAACUAGCUUUAGCUAACUACUCAGCCUGCAGUGCUGUAAUAACUUGUUUAGCCAGCAGGCUAAUAACGGGUAAGAAUGUCUUGCGCAGGUGCUACAUGAAUAAGCACACGGGUCACAUACUCCGCGUUGUGUCCAGUAAGGGGCCGGUAGUCGGUACAUGAAAUGACACCUGGAGCGGGAACGGGUGGAUGCCGUAGCACAUGGAAAUAGCCAGCACCGCUACACCGGCAAAUAUGCAGCCAGCUGCCCUCCGAGAACCCGCCGGGACCCCACAGAGACCCCGCGAGAACCCACCAGGACCCUGCCUGAAACCCGCCGGGACCCUGCCUGGAACCCGCCGGGAACCUGCCUGAAACCCGC